rnacentral:rRNA from 1 species
AGCGGCAGACGAGUGAGUAACACGUAAACAAUCUACCCACGAAUGGCGAAUAACCCACCGAAAGGCGGGCUAAUGCGCCGUAUUCUCCCUGGAAGGCAUCUUCCGGGGAGGAGAGACCCGCAAGGGUCGUUCAUGGAGGAGUUUGCGGCCCAUCAGCUAGUUGGCGGUGUAACGGACCACCAAGGCUACGACGGGUACCCGGGCUGAAAGGCCGGACGGGCACGAUGGCACUGAGACACGGGCCAUACUCC